UACAAGUGCCGAAGUAUUAGCUGUUUCAACUUAUUUUCUGUCUGCACUUGGGCCCCUUACUUCUCUCUUCCUCGCACUUCGUGCAUCUCAUAAACCCCUUGUAAAUCCCACAGACAAAAAAGUAAGAACAGAGUUGCGUUUUUGAAACUGUCUCUAAAGAAGAAACAAAAAGGGACAUACAAAAUGGAGCUGUCCAGUCCAAUGUGAUAUGAAGAGACAAAAGAGAGAUUUUUUUUUUGUGUGUGUGUGUGUGUGAAAAGGCAAGUUAGAAUAUUGUUUGGAGUGCAACUUCCUCAGUGUCUCUCCGUCCCUGUGAAGACCCUUUAUCAUAUAGGUUUUGGACCAACCAAAGUUUAUGGCUAUGGCAUUGCAAUUACAUGUGUUGGGAAGUUGGUUUUUUCUCCCCAAAAGGCCGAAUGGAGAAGUAGGAGUAAAGCUUGCUUCAGAGGUUUUAAGGUUUUUAAUGGUAAACUCGGUUGAGUUUACUGUCAUGCUUUCCUGAAACAUGUGAACUCAUAAGUCAUAAGUACAUUGUUACCUUAAAGUUUGGAAUGAAGCCAUCGGUCCGCGAAGUAUAUCAAUCUUUGUAGUAUAUUGAAAUACAAAUAGUUUGAUUCAUUGUGCAUGAAAUUUAUGCAUAUGAAAGCUACUGAGGUUUUUCUUUUUUCAAGAUAGUGACCUAUCCAUUCUUCUAGAAUUCAAAUUUCAAUCCAGAAUCACUGCCAAUUAGCUCGGAGAUAUAUGAUAACUGGAAAGGAUAUGUGAUGAUAUUGUACAUCCAACUACCUUAUUGUUGUCUGAAUAUAUACUCCUGAGGUUAGUCUUCUCAA